rnacentral:rRNA from 1 species
ACCUCUGCAAUAGGCGAAAGCUUGACAGGGUUACUCUGAGUGACUUUCGUUAAGAAAGUCUUUUGACACCUCUAAAAAUGGUGUAGAAUAAGGGGUGGGCAAGUCUGGUGUCAGCCGCCGCGGUAAUACCAGCACCCCGAGUGGUCGGGACGAUUAUUGGGCCUAAAGCAUCCGUAGCCGGCCUUACAAGUCCUCCGUUAAAUCCAGCUGCUUAACAGAUGGGCUGCGGAGGAUACUAUAAGACUAGGAGGCAGGAGAGGCAAGCGGUACUCAGUGGGUAGGGGUAAAAUCCGUUGAUCCAUUGAAGACCACCAGUGGCGAAGGCGGCUUGCCAGAAUGCGCUCGACGGUGAGGGAUGAAAGCUGGGGGAGCAAACCGGAUUAGAUACCCGGGUAGUCCCAGCUGUAAACGAUGCAGACUCGGUGAUGGACUAGCUUUAUGCUGGUCCAGUGCCGCAGGGAAGCCGUUAAGUCUGCCGCCUGGGUAGUACGGUCGCAAGACUGAAACUUAA